CUGGGGCUUACGUCUCGCCUCACGAACGAAAAACAUCUAAGUACCCGAUUAUGCAAUUUUAAACAUUAACAUAUUCAACAUCUAAACAUUAAUAUUUACUUAUAUACCACCUAAAAACCAUUCUCCUCAUCUAUACUACCACUAUGUUACAUCCAGUUAAAGCCACACCCCCGAAACCGUCUUCUCCGUGGUCAACUCGCAUCUUCUUCGCUCGAAAUUUUGCCGCACUGCUGCUCGAGACCUGCCUUAGGUCGGAAAGGUGGCAGGAUGGAUAAGGAGAGGAUUGCGGGGUUCUUACUCGAGCGACGAAGACGAAGGGUGAAGACAAAACCUUGAACGCGAUUCAAUUGAACUAAUCAGUUUAUUUCAAACGUCGUCAAGGACAGAAGCUUGAACGCGAUGCUGAAGUCGAGGGUUGCAGGCUUAAAACGGGGUAGACAGACGCUCGAACGAAGGCUAAGGAUUUCUUCUUCGCGCACAAAGCCAAUGCCGAAGACGAAGCAUUUUUCUUCCCGCGCACAGCAAAAGCCAGGUUCGGGGCGGCGGAUUUUUUGACGGGAUGUAACUAUGGUAGUAAAUAUGAGAAAAAGGAAAGGGUUUUUAAGGUGCUGUAUAAGUAAAUAUUAAUAUUUAAAUGAUAAAUAUAUAUAUAUACUAUAAUUUAAGGUGUUA